rnacentral:rRNA from 1 species
GAUGAACGCUAGCGGCAGGCCUAACACAUGCAAGUCGAGGGGUAGAAGGAGCUUGCUCCUUUGAGACCGGCGCACGGGUGCGUAACGCGUAUGCAAUCUACCUUGUACAGGGGAAUAGCCCAGAGAAAUUUGGAUUAAUGCCCCAUAGUAUAUAACCUUCGCAUGUUGGUUAUAUUAAAGUUCCAACGGUACAAGAUGAGCAUGCGUCCCAUUAGUUAGUUGGUAAGGUAACGGCUUACCAAGACGAUGAUGGGUAGGGGUCCUGAGAGGGAGAUCCCCCACAAUGGUACUGAGACACGGACCAGACUCCUACGGGAGGCAGCAGUGAGGAAUAUUGGUCAAUGGUCGCAAGACUGAACCAGCCAUGCCGCGUGCAGGAAGACGGUCCUAUGGAUUGUAAACUGCUUUUAUACAGGAAGAAACCCUCCCACGUGUGGGAGCUUGACGGUACUGUAGGAAUAAGGAUCGGCUAACUCCGUG